CAGGGCACAGCGGGCCCGGACAGCGCCUCCCAGCGGCCUAGCCCGGCGCAGCCCUUACCGGGCCGACGUGAGCGCCGCCGCGUCCCCCGCGCCGGGGCGGGGCGGUCCCGGGGCGGGGCAGGAAGGGGGGAUCGCGGCGGCAGACCCCGGUGUCGGUGGCGCUGCUGGCAGCGGUUGGGAGUCAGCGGUGUGGCGCGCCUUCCUCCCUCCUGCAUUUAUGAGGACCAGGACAGAUGGCUAUCUUGUCAGUAGGAUUACUUGCAGUGACAAGGGAGAAAGGGUGCUGUUUACAAAAUCCUCACUGUGUAUUUUGGUUUGUUCUUGCCUGGUAAUGAUGUUGCAUGAUCUUUGCUGCAUUUUUCUUCCCUUUGGACAAAGAAUGCUGAGGGUGGUGUAGAAUCAUAUCCUAUUUAUAUCCAUAUCCAUGAAUGUGAUGCGGUCACAUAUUCCAUCACUGCCUCCCAGUUCCACUCCACAGUUGUCAAUAUUCUUUUUUGGAUGUUAUGGUUCCACUUGGUUGUCUCCGUCCUGUUCUAGUAUUUUAGUCUGUGCUGUUGUACAUUUGUGGUCCUAGUGUACUAAUACAAGUACUUUUCUGUAGAAAUCCCUACAAAACAAUGGUAUCUCAAAGGUUUGUCUUUGUAAAAUUGUCUAUCUCUGUGUAGGAGUCCCUAGUGUGUAGGGUUAAUCCAGACUUGAAUAAGAAAGAAAAGAAGUUUUCUUCUGAUGGUCAUAUGUUGCAAGUGACUUGCUUUCAGUCUUCUGUGUUGUAUAUGCCUCAGGUUUUCAUACUUCAACAAAAAGGGGAUUAUUAGUCUUUCAUUAUUAGUCUUUUAUACUUGGCAACAAAAAGGGAUUAUGAGGAAAUGAAUUUAUAUUGAAUGUAAGGUUUGUGUUUUUUCCUUUUUUUUUUUUUUUCAGAGCACAGGACCAGGUUAACACUAGAGGGCCACUGCAAAACUACAGAAGAUUUGUUUUGCUCUUAUGCCUUCCACCCACAUAUAAAAAUGGGGGGGGGGGGGGGGGUGUUAGCUGCAUUUGCUUUCUGUUGCAGACCUCUAAGUAAUGUCCUUCGACCCAUUUGAUAAUACAAUUACUGAUCUUAAAAAUUAGGGCCUACAGCAUACCCUUUCUGGCUUGUUUCAAAAAUGUCAAUCUAAUUUUCAAUCAAAAUUAUUCACAGUCUUCGUAUAUAUUCAUUGUUCUUGUUUAGUAUCAUUCAGUAGCUUAAUUCAUACUUUGUUCUCUGUAUAUACUUCUGUGUAGAGAAGAGUCAUGUUUACUUUUAGACUUCAUGUUGUUGGGCUGAAAAGUCCAGAUUGUCUUUACGUCAUUACAUACUGGGAAUACUAAGAGUUUAUUGGGCUCAACUUGGAAAAGAGAAGGCUCAAUGUGACCUCGCUGCAGACUGCAGCUUCCCCAAAGGAGGAAGUGAAGCGGAUGAUACAGAUCUGCUCUCUCUGCGGAACAGUGAUAGGAUGCAAGGAAGAGGAAUGGAGUUGAAUCAGAGGAAGUUCAGAUAUAUAAAUACAGGGCUAUAUUUAUGAAACAGUUAAUGAAAUUAGCACUUGAAACCUUGUUUUAAUUGUCUUUGUUUAACCAUUCAUUUUGAGUUGUUUUGGUGGGUUUUUUUUACAUCUUCUAAUCCACUUUUCUCACAUUUAACAAUCUCCCAUGUUGUAGUAUGGAUAAAAAAAUAGUUAAUCUCCCCACCUCUGACCAGCUCCACUGCAUUUUCUUUUGUCUGGGGGAAUGAUCUUUUGUUUAGUUGAAGAAAGAUAUUAUAAUUUGGUAAGAUAAUGUAUGUAUAUAUAUUUCUGCCUCUCUGUUUCUAAUUUCUCUCUGUUUCUAAUUAUUUUUUACCUCAGAAUCUAUUCAAUUUUCUUUUUGCUUUGAUUCAGUUUAAAUAAAGCAUCUUUAUUGAAACUAGGGUGAAUUAAU
rnacentral:lncRNA from 1 species